rnacentral:rRNA from 1 species
GAUGAACGCUGGCGGCGUGCCUAAUACAUGCAAGUCGAGCGAACAGACGAGGAGCUUGCUCCUCUGACGUUAGCGGCGGACGGGUGAGUAACACGUGGAUAACCUACCUAUAAGACUGGGAUAACUUCGGGAAACCGGAGCUAAUACCGGAUAAUAUAUUGAACCGCAUGGUUCAAUAGUGAAAGACGGUUUUGCUGUCACUUAUAGAUGGAUCCGCGCCGCAUUAGCUAGUUGGUAAGGUAACGGCUUACCAAGGCAACGAUGCGUAGCCGACCUGAGAGGGUGAUCGGCCACACUGGAACUGAGACACGGUCCAGACUCCUACGGGAGGCAGCAGUAGGAAUCUUCCGCAAUGGGCGAAAGCUUGACGGAGCAACGCCGCGUGAGUGAUGAAGGUCUUCGGAUCGUAAAACUCUGUUAUUAGGGAAGAACAAAUGUGUAAGUAACUAUGCACGUCUUGACGGUACCUAAUCAGAAAGCCACGGCUAACUACGUG